UGGCAACAGAGUUUGCGGUCGUUUAGAGCAGACUGCGACGAAAACUAGUAAUAAGAAGACGGACAUCUAACUUUUUUAAGCAACGGAAAGUAAAGCAUAUGGGUGUAAUUGUAUGAUUUAUUUGGAAUUGAUCUAAUUAAGUCCAAGUGAAGAUGAGGACUAUAACUUCAGCUAGCGGCCAAAAGGAAACUAUCCUUGUGAGAAGAAGCGAGUCGGCGGAUGCUCAGGAGAUUGGCAGCCUCAUUGGCCCCUCAGCUCAGGCGGUGUUUGGAAGAGUCAAUGUGAUUGAGCUUCUAGAGAAAGCCAAUCUGGCCGUGACUCUGACCAAUGAAAAGGACGACAUCCUGGCUCAUGCUUCUUUCUUCGAUCACCCCAUUGGAGACUUGGUGGAUCAGGCUCAGUGGGAACCUUUCCUGCAGAAACACUUCAGAGCUGAAAAAUGCACGCCUCUCAACACGCUUUUCCUCCACCUUUUCGUGGCUCAGACAAAUUUUUCCAGUGCAAGUGCAAAGGAGAUAAUGAGGGCUGUCUUUAAUGCUGUGACUGAGCUUGAAUACAUCUGCCUGGUUAGCCCAAACCUUGGUGGUUUAGACCCGGCACUGAAUGAGAUUUUGAAACCGUUGAAGCGUUUGACUGGACCAGGGCAUCAGUGUUUAGCAUUGAUAACCCACAGAUCAAAGCACUUUCCAUGCCUUCAUGUCCGCCCAGCCAGAGUUGAAGACUAUGACGACAUUAUGCCGUUAUUUGAAAAGCAGAGAAAGCAACCAGUCUUUGACCAGCCAUACUUAUCGGCAGAGCUCCUUGAGGCCAAGUCCGAGGACUGUCACAGCGCUGUUUGUGAGAUCGAUGGAGUUGUUGUUGGCUUCAUCAGGGUUACUGCUGAUGUUGAUCUCUCGGUGCUCCAUGCCAACUUUGAGCUGAGUGAGUUUGAUGGUUUGUGCAAUGUGCAGCAACCGGAGCCUGAUGGCCCUGCUGCUCAGUCUGACCCAAGUGAGGAUGAAAAAGAACAAACCCAAACUUCCACUUUGCAGCAGGAGGAGGCACAGUCCACUGGAACGGUUUCAGGGAAAUCCAACGCUUUCUGCAUUCAGCUCUUCGUUAUUGACAAGGAAUAUGAGACAAGAUCGGUGGACUUUAUUCCACAUAUAUUCAAGCUUUUCCCUGACCUGAACUUCUGCAUCAUCACAGUUCCCUCUGGGGCCCCUGUGUUCCCCUUGUUACAGAACUUUGUCAGGGUGCCGUCGGGUCCCACCAACUUACUGUCCCGUGAACUCUACAUCUGUCACCGUGCUGGACUUUGGGCUUUGAGUGUGGAGGUGAGGCCGGCUGUGCCUGCAGACCGACCUGCUGUCUCUAGUCUGGUGAAGGAUCUGAAUCUGAGCGAGUUUCUGCUGCAGGACCUGGACCGCUUCUAUGAGAGCCACUGUGAUACAAAUGCAGUGCCGCUGCAGGCCUUCGUCUCAGAGGCGGACGGUGAGGUCGUUGGGAUAGUCAUCAUCAGAGACGAGCAGGAUAUCGAGUUCAUUCGUGGCCACUACAACAUCGAGAACUUCAUCUAUUUCAGCCAUCACCGCCACGAGGAGCACGCUCAGAUGCGCCACUUCGUCCUCAAACCCAUCUUCCAGCACUUCACCAAGCACUUGUUUAAGGAGGUCCUCCGGCUGGCUCACAAAUCCUGCUUGUACCACCGACUCUAUCCCCCCUGCCACAGCCACGAGAAUUCCUGUGUCCACCAUCUGGAUGUUGUCCUCAACUGUGCCGUCCCAGUCCGCCCACGACGCCAGAUCAUCUACCCGCUGGAGGAGCUUGGCAUGAACGCCCCGUCCAGGCAGCUCACAGAGUACCAGGCGCCAUUUGCUCUCAGCCUCAUCAGCAGAAAGUUAACCAUGGAGCCAAAGGUCGCCAUUAACGCCAGGAUUGUGGUGGUGGGGGCGUCAGACACAGGUUUAUCUGUCCUUGAGGUGCUUUGCUUCUGCCCUCACCUGAGGUUCAACAAGCUGACCCUCAUUUCGACACAUGGUUUCCCCGGCGACUACAGCCAUGAGGAUGUUGGAUUUUUGUCCACAAGUCAUGCAUACAGCAGCAGAGACUUGGCCCAGAUACCUGUGCAUUCUUGCGUCAGUGUUGUAACCGGAAAGAUGGUGGGCAUCAACAGGAAGUCCAAAUACGUCCGUGUGUCUGGUGGUGAGAAGGUGCCCUACGACCAUCUCGUUCUGUGUACUGGCCUGCAGUACCAGGUGCCCUGUCCCACUGGUGUGGAUCUGAGCCAGCCCAUCACAAACAGCCAGCUGCAGCUUCAGUCCGCUCACCGCAGAUACUCUGGGCCCGUCCCCUCCAACCUCUUCACCCUCAACGACCUCCACGACUGCAUGGCUGCUCGCCACUGGCUGCACGCCAACUUUGUGGAGCUAGAGGAUAAUGCUAUUGUGUACGGAAACAGCAUUGAUGUCUACACCACCAUAGAGACUUUGCUCAGUCUUGGCAUCCGUGGAUCUCGUAUCCGUCUUGUCCUCCCACCUCCCGAGCCUGGCAUGUCUUGCUUCACUGACUCAGCCGUAGAUAAAGCCGUGACGAGGGCCAUGGAGAGUGCCGAGGUCCAGAUCCACCAUAACUGCGUGUUGGCUCAGAUGAACCACGGAGAACAACCCGAGCCCCUCACAUCGGUGUCAUUCACCACUGACGCAGAGCCUCUCCAUCUGCACUGUGGAGUGUUUAUCAACCUCUCCAAUAAGGGAGUCGACUAUGAUGCCUUCAAGAGUAUCAACAAAUCCUUCCUGGUCUUUGAUAGCAGACUUGUUAUAACGUCCACUUUCAGCACCAACGAUCCAUUCAUUUACAGUGCCGGGCCUCUCACUAUAUUCUCCCACCACUACUACACAGAGUGGUCCCACGCCGACUUCAACUCCAAGGAACUGGGCCAGGAACUGGCGGCCAUGUUGCUGCAUCUCUUUGACCCGACGUUGGAGCCUGCGGAUGAGCCUCCAGCUGAAAUGGAUUGUCUCGUACCAAUGUACAAGCAGGCCAAGAUUCAAGGUGGAAAGCUUCCUGGAGGAUAUAACUACCUGCAUGUUACCAAACCAACUGCUUCCAACCUGACAGGUCCUGCUGUUGAACGUUUGCAGGACAGAGGGGUAGUGACGGGACGCGUGGAGACAGGCGACUACUUCUGUUUGCAUCUCGACCGCUACGAGCAGGUGGAGACGCUCACCUGCUUGUCCCUGAAGCCCCUCCCCGUCUCCAACUACCUGUGUCUGUACGGCAAACACGAGCAGCUGCUGGGCCAGCUGCUGGGACGCUACAACGAGGGCCUGAUCCGCGACCUGUACAGUUUCUUCAGAGAGAGCCGCUGUUUGGCCAUUUUCCACGACAGAUUCUCUGACUUUGAGAAGGAGCUUCGACAGAUCGUCUCAAAGACACUGAAGGGUGAUGAGUCGAAGAAGCAGGCGAUGACAGAGGAGGACGGCUCCAAUUCCCUCCACAUGGACAGUUUUCUACAUGAAGAGAGUCGAGCGGCUCUGAGGAGCAGUACUGUGAAAUAUCUGACCUUCAACCGAAACCUGCUGCCCAUGUUCGCCCACCCAGGACAGCUGUGACAUGUCAGAGUUUACAGCAGCCUGCUACAUGUGUUUAAACAGCAGAACUCAGAAGCAUCACGAGACACAUCAAAGCCCCGAGGCCGAGAUGGAAGGAGGGAGGAGGGGUGAGGAGGAGGGAGGAGGAGGGAGGGAAACGCAGGAUGCCCACACUUUAAUCUUCUUUAUCCGCUGAUGUGAGGACAGACCGUCCCAAAUUCCAUUUAUAAGAGAAAUACUGAUGCAAAAAGGCUGAGCGUGUCUUUAUACCAGAGUGAACAAAUUGGGAUGCAAAUGCGCCGCCUUUGAACUGUGUAAAGUGGCAUAAUGGGAUGAUCCAUAAAUUAUUAAUCAGUGUUGGUUUAGAGCUGAACCCAGAGGAUGGCUGACAUCACUGCUGCACGAGAAAGCCAACACAGAUGAUAUUCAAUUUUUAAAAAAAACAAACGCUGGUGCAGAAAGUUUCCGAAUGAAAAAGAAAAAAAUAAAAACAUCCACCUUCAAAAAGAGCUUAAAUAAAGUCUGGGGAUGUAUUUUAAGUCAUCUUUACUGGAGGUCUAUAGGUUUAAUGUAUACUUGCAAAAGCUCAGUUAUUUUGUGUUUUAUUUUGUGCAAAGAAAUAUCAAACUGGUGUUGGUUUGAUCAUUUUAAUUAUGUCUUUAUCUGUUUUUCCACUCUUGUGAACUCUUCAUAUACAUAUAGAUCGUGUACAAUGCCCUCCAUAUGUUAGGUGUGAAACUGAUAUUUGAAUUUGAGAUCAAAACAUGAGAUGAAGACAAAAGGAGAGACUGGCUAGGCCUACAUUUUUUGCUAUUUAUAAUUACAUCUACAUUUUGAAUCCAAAUUCAAAUGACAAAAGUUGCAAAUACAACAGUGUUCCUUGUCCGGGUCACCAUUUGCGACGUUUUUAGUCGCAAAUGGCGACCCGGCGACCAUCCAAAUCCGCUCGAUCGAGCUGGACCGCGUAUCAUGUUUUCUUCAUGGAGGCAGCCACUUUGUAUGAUGUCAUCAACCUCCUAUCAUUCUCGGCGCUUGUGGCGACCUGGCGACAGUCUAAAUCGAGUGCUGCAGAAGUAAGCAAAACUUUGUCUGUCUACAAGACUAAAAUGUUGAAAGUCUUAUUUUUAAUUGAGAAAGGUGUGAUUAUUCUUUCAUGUCAGCUGGUAUUGGACAUGUUGUUGCAAAUUUGGCCAAAAUUUUAUUUUGUCCAUCAUCUUUCUAAUGCAAUAUUUCAAAAAUGUGCAUAAAACUGUGCACAAGGGAGAAUUUUUCAGCUUGAACGCAAGAUAUUUCCUUCAGGGGGUGGUGGAGACCAAAAACAGAGCAACAAGCAGAGAGAAUAUCCAAUUUAUCAGAUUAACACAAACAAUAGAAGGAAUGAUCACGAAUCUCAUUUCUUGAAAGUAUGGCUGCUUCAAAAAAAGCUACCAGAAGUUUCAAAUACAAUCUGUUACAGCGAACAGUCAUGGGUUGAUUUGCAGACCAGCUGAUGACAGAAAUAUGUGACUUUAAUGGUAAAUUCUGGACAAUGUGAAAAAGAAAAAGAAAAAAAAACUGGUGUUAUCAUCAUUCUACAAACCUGCAUGUAUACAGAGAGAUGACCUGAGUGUAAAUAAAAUUAAAAACAGAAAAUGUGAUCUGGGAGAACUAAGUGGAUUAUCCUUUGCAGUGCAAAGCUGAAAAUCUAACUUUAUAAGAAAACGUUGCUAUUAAACUCCGUGGUGCCCAGUAGCAGCAGGAUAUUAUUAUAAACCAAACACCUGCUAAAAAAUAAUCAGAUUUAAUGUGGAUAAAAAAACGACUAAGUGCUUGCUUGUCAAAGAAAGUGCUUUUUGCUUACAGUGUGUGUUAUUUGGUACCCAGCUUUUGGAGAGGAUGUUAGGAUUUCAGGAUCUCAAGCAUCUUCCUGAGAGGAUUACCAAACAUGAAAGCAGCAGGAGGUUCAGAAAAUGUGGGUAAAUUCACCUACCAGACAGAAAGCAGAGCAGUAAAAGAGCAAGUUGGGAGAACAGAUAUGUGCUCAUCUGCUUUAUCACAUGAAUUAAUAUCCGUGUAUCAUGUGAAAUCAUAAAAAUGUGAAACUGUGUUAAAAGAAGAUAUUGUGCUACAUUUUUCAGCUGUCUAUAAAUAUAAGCUCAUUGAAAUUAAACAAAACAUCUGAAACCCCCAAUCACGUCAUGUCAUCAAACUGCCACUUCAGAUGAAAUGACUUGUUAAAACUAACUCUUUUCUGCUCAUUAGCCACACCGAACACAAAGGAACUGUCUCCAGGUUUCACUAAUCUCCCGCUACCUGCCGUCACACCCUGCAGGGCCUCUCACAUUGUUUGGGAAGCUGGAUUAGCGACGCUCUGAGUGACUCUGCAUUAUUGUGUUGCGUUGUGGAACUCCAACGCCUCCUUUCCAUGGGGAUCCAGGCCACAUGCCGCCCGGGCUAGCAAGCUAGCUAGCGGGCAGGAGAGGCUGAUAGGCUGGCAGGCUGUUGGGCCUUGGAGCCAGAGCACACUACAAAAAAUAAACCUCCAAAAAAGUGUCACAAGCCGGAUUUUAUUCCAAGAAGUCCAAAGAUUUCUCACAGGGAGCCUCAGCAAGAUUUUUUUUUUCUUUUAAUUGAUAUAUAUAUUACUGUAAUCCUUUCCAUAAAGCGCCAUGGGGAUGCACACUGUCCCCAAAACAUGACUUUGAAAUGUAAAUGACCGUUAGCAAGUUCUAGUAUUUUUGACAUUUUUAAAGUUUGUGUCUUUUAUAUGAGUUUUCUCAAGGCUGUUUUGUUCAACACUUGUCUUGUUUUUUAGAUUUUUUUCUCUGAUUUUGCACCUGGUUGGUUUGAUUGCUGAUGAUAUUGUAUAACAUUCUAAUGUUUUUUUUUGUGUUCAUGGUAUCGAGGCCUCGACUGCUGUCCAGUCAAAAUGUGAGCUCAUACCCUGUGAAUUAGUCUGUCCAGGAUUGUUGUGGAUGUUUGCUGUAUGUUUAUCAUUUCCUAGGUGAAAAUGAUUAGCAACUGUUAGCUGUCUUGCUCUCUACUGUCCUUAUUGAUUAUUCCAAAGUCCUUAUGCUAGCCAGCCUAUCAAUCUUGAUCCUGUUGACAUUUAUUCCAGGUUAGCAAGAGCAGGUUGUUAUUAUAAAUCAAUGAGAACGAAGUCAUGGCUGUAAUAUCAAUGAUCAUGAUGACAGAAAGACUACAAAUUACCAAUCAAAUCUGAAACAAGAAAAGCACUCAGAGAACACAGUACUUCAUCAAGGCUGCUCAGUCGUAUGAUUUAUAUUAAUUGUUCCUUGUAUCGUUUCCAACGGAUGAGUCCUGAUAAGUCCGCAACGGUUCAUAUGUAGUAGAAUCGCAAUCAUGUGAUCGUCAGCAGGCAGCUGAUGUAGUGUUCACUUGUAGUCAUAGUUACAGUGACGCCAUGCUGCUAUCUCUGAGUGAUAAAGAAAUCUUUAACAAAUCUGUGGAUCCAGACUACAAGCCGCAUCGCUGCCAAAAUCUAAUCAACUGGUCCUUGUGUCAUUUCUGACCUUCCCUGAAAAUUUCAUCCAAAUACAUUUUUGAGUAAUGUUGAUAACACACAGACAGACAGACAGACAAUCCAACGCUGAUCAUCACGUAACUAAAAUUCUGCUGAAAGGUUUUGGUUACUUUACCCCAAAAUAAGGUUUACAGAGCAUUUUUACUCACUGUUUUGACACUGGGCCAUUGUGUUCCAUUUGUGUGUGUAAUUAACAUUGUGGCUGCACAGUGCAGUAGUGGUUAGCACUUUCGCCUUGCAGCAAGAAGAUCCCUGGUUCAAAUCCCGGGGUGGGCCUGGGAUCUUUCUGCAUGGAGUUUGCAUAUUCUCCCUGUGCAUGCGUGGGUUUUCUCCGGGUACUCCGGCUUCCUCCCACAUGCUGAGGUUAAUUGAUUACUCUAAAUUGUCCGCAGGUGUGAAUGUGAGUGUGAUUGUGUGUCUGUAUAUGUAGCCCUGUGACAGACUGGCGACCUGUCCAGGGUGUCCCCUGCCUUCGCCCGAGUCAGCUGGGAUAGACUCCAGCACCUCCUGCGACCCUAGUGAGGAUAAAGCGGUGUUUAGAGAAUGGAUGGAUGGAUGGAUGAUUAACAUUGUCCUUGUCCUGUAUGAGCAUUAGCAUGUGUAAAAUCCCUAACAGGAUUCCUGGCUUUGCUCCACCUGUUUUCCUCCAUCCCACCUCCUGAUUGGCGUGACACUCCAAUCAAACUGUGCCACUCAUCAUGGCCCCAUGCUUGAAAUCUCAGUAAAUUGUUGCUUUGUAAACUGUUGCUUUGUAAGACUGUCAUUUAACGAGCAGCUCGCCUCCACAUAACUCAAAAUACUAGUCCAGUUUUCUGCAGAACUCAUUUAGUGCUUUGAAAAAGAUGUUUAGAAAUCACACGGUUAGUGAGAGCAAAAGUCCUCCCAUGUUCUCAUGUGAACGGAGAUCUGCUGGUGCCUUCAAAGCUAUGCUGGAGAAAACAUCAGCAUGAUGCAAAGUACUUCAAAUGACAGACAUCAUGUUUGGAAGAAAUGUAUUUGAGAGUAUUUGCUCUGCUCACUGGGAGGAAGCAGCGUUUAUGGCCUACACUGCAACCAGCCACCGAGCGGCAGUGGAGAAAUUUUGGCUUCGGCCAUCUUUUUAUACAGUUGGUUGACCAAAUACAGUCCAGUUCUGUCCUGCAUAAUAACUAUAAAUAUGCUUAUCUAUAGCUCUGAACAUAGGAUUUAUAUCUUGAGUCCUGUAUGUGAUUUCAAAGAAGCCACUAAAACACAUUAUGAAAUAUUAUAUUUCCAAACUUACAUUAAGCUAAUAUGAUGCAUUAGCAGUCAGAGUUAGUCAUAUUAAAGAUGCUUCUGACAAAAUUUCUGCGUUUAUGCUACAAAACCUGUUGAGCUGUAAACAUGCGAUUCUUAAAAACACUCACUUUGAAUGAAAGCAGAGCUCUGUUGCCAUAUUUCUGAUUCUUCUGGCAGCUUCAUGGCUGAAGACGUGACUUUAUCUGACCGACAUUUUUUGCAGCGUGUGUGCGGUGGCCAGACUCGGAGCAGCUGGUCAGUUAGCAGGCCACAUCAGCGUCAGACCGCCUCACUGAUAAUGGGAUUAGCUUAAGCCAGGCAGCAGGGAAAGCAGAGGAGAGGAGGGGAGAGAGAGGGAGGGAGGCAGGAGAUGAGUGGGCAGAGGAGGGAGGACAAUCACCACCGUGCACACAUCACCCGCCUCCCCCAAAAACCACCGAAACCCAUAACUGCACACUGCAGGGCCUGGAUACUGCAGGUAUGUUAGUCAGGUGCCGGUGCUUCAUAUCAGAGUUUAGAGGAUGAAUGAGGGAUAGUCUUUCACGCUUGAAUCAGCACAGCACCGCUUUCACCGAGCCAAGAAGGGAGUCUUUCCUAGUCUGUUUGUGUUCUUUGAAAGUCAGUUUAUUGGGGAUUUUUUUCACUUCAGGCAGUGAGGGCAUCUGUUUGCACGUAAUUGUUGCCCAGUGUCAGCUGUAGAGGACAGUUAGAUUUACUCAGCAGCUGAAUGAGAAAGGACGACAUAAAAACAGACCUGUGCUUUCUCACUGUGCAGACGACACAAAGCUACUCUUGAAAUUUUGAAAACGUUUUCGCUUUAAAUGCACAAAAAUACUGAACAUUCUUUCACAUAUCUAAUGAACUUAAUAAAAUAAUGCUUCAUGGAUAAUAUUCUACUGCUGGUGUACAUCUGUUAGUGAGCCUGAUUUUAUUCUCCUUUUUUAACAUGAAUGCGUGUUUUAAUUUUUAAGCUUUUUGAGGCUAUACACUGUAAAACAUCAUAGAGGACUUUAGUCAGAUCAACUCACCUUGUUCAUUUAUUUAUUUAAAUUAACCUGAAAUGUUUGGGGUUUUUUUAAAUUCUCUGACCACUUUUGAAACAUGAGCACUUAUAAAUGGAGCUAUUUUGACCUAAAAUGACGAAUUUAAUGAAUUCAAAUGAGUUCACUCAACUCAGAAACAAAGCUAGUGUAUAAGCAGAUUUCCCAAGAUGCAUUGUUUGAGACUCUCAGAGACUCUGGGCCACACCUUUUCAUUCAAUGCUUUUUAUGUAUUUGUAUUAUUUUCUACAUUGUAGGUUAAUACUGAAGAUUAGCUCUGUUUGUUUACAACAUAAUUCCAUAUGUAACUUUUAUAGUUUUGAUGUCAUCAGUAUUAAUCUACAAUUUAGAAAAUGAUUAAAUAAAAACCAUGGAAUGAGAAGGCCAACCUCUUGACUGGUAGUGUGUAUAUAUAUAGAUGUUAGUACACUAAAAUAGAAUGUGAAACUUUGGUUUUCAUAGUCUACAGCUUUUGAUGAACCGUAUGUAAUAUAAGGUUCCAAAUGAGCUGCCAAGGGGAUAAUUUGAAAUCCAGAAGCAGAAUUUUUACAUGUAAUAGAGUAUAGUUACAUUAUUGUGUUGGUAUUUUAAAAGUAAUGGAUCUGAAUACUACCAUCACCACUGGUUGUUACCCUAACCCUAUCAACUAUGACACUACAUAAACCAUCUAUUCGGAACAUUAUUGUGCUGAUUAGUCUGAACCUUUAUUAACUUAACAUCCUCUUUCUACCACUCACUUUUUAACAAUAAAGAUUGGAGUUUCUACUUGCAUGUUUUCCUAGUGUCUCAGUGUUGAUUUCGUACAGCAGGUCAAACUGAUUUUCUCUCUCCACCCUCCCCUCACCUUAACCAGUCGAGGCAGACAGCUGCCCUGCCUGAGCCUGGUUCUGCUGGAGGUUUCUUUCUGCUAAAAGGGAGUUUUUUUCUCUCUGUUCAUUCCAAGUGCUGGCUCAAAGGGAAUGAUUAACAUGGUUGGAUUUCUCUCUACGAUGUAGCAUUGUAAAAUAAUAAAUUCUUUAAAAAAAUGGAGAAAAAAAAUAAAAUUGGAUACAUCAACUUUUGAACAAGAGAUUUUUUUGGAUGGAGGAGAAACUGUUCUCCAGCCAGGAGCUGCAACAUGGGAUGUAUGCAGGUCCUUUAAUAAGACUUUGCUUCAAAACAGUGACUGGUCUAUUUGUUUAAGACAUUUCAUUUUUUAUUUGUUGAACAUUUUGUCAAAUUUCUGAGGGAUUUUAAGGGAAAUGACCCCAUCCUUCUCAUGUUAUUGUCAUUUUGAAGCAGAGUAAUUCAGGGUAACUGUUUGUUUGCACAGUUGGUUAAAACUAUAAGAAGUAAUGCUCUUCACAAUAUCUUUUA